ACUUGUCCAAUGUGUGAAAAUAAGAAUGCAUUUUAUGCAUGUGUUUGCUGAAAUGCUGUCUGCUGUUAUAGCUGAAUCAGCCAAAUCUAGCCUAGUCUAGUGGGGCCCAUGCCAUGUGAUGGAGUUGGGGGCUAGGAAUGUUUGCUAGCCAAUUGAUUGGGUGGCCCACUGAUUGGACGCCACUUGCCAUUUAGGACUUUAAGGUGGGAGAGAGGAAGAGAAGGCAAUCAGUUAGUGGCAUAUGCUGCCAAAAUAAUAAGAUAGGGCCUUUUACCAAAAAAUAAAUAAAUAAAUAAUAAGAU
rnacentral:lncRNA from 1 species